GACGAACGCUGGCGGCGUGCUUAACACAUGCAAGUCGAACGGUGAAGCGCCUUCCUUUUUGGUGGGUGUGGAUGAGUGGCGAACGGUUGAGUAACACGUGAGUAACCUGCCCCCUUCUUCUGGAUAACCGCAUGAAAGUGUGGCUAAUACGGGAUAUUCUGGGUCUGUCGCAUGAUGGGUCUGGGAAAGAUAUUGUUUCGGUGGGGGAUGGGCUCGCGGCCUAUCAGCUUGUUGGUGGGGUGAUGGCCUACCAAGGCGGUGACGGGUAGCCGGCCUGAGAGGGUGGACGGUCACACUGGGACUGAGACACGGCCCAGACUCAUACGGGAGGCAGCAGUGGGGAAUAUUGCACAAUGGGCGCAAGCCUGAUGCAGCGACGCCGCGUGAGGGAUGGAGGCCUUCGGGUUGUGAACCUCUUUCGCCAGUGAAGCAGGCCUGCCUCGUUUGUGGGUGGGUUGACGGUAGCUGGAUAAGAAGCGCCGGCUAACUACGUG
rnacentral:rRNA from 1 species